AUUGAACGCUGGCGACAGGCUUAACACAUGCAAGUCGAGCGGGGAAGAGUAGCUUGCUACUUUACCUAGCGGCGGACGGGUGAGUAAUGCUUAGGAAUCUGCCUAUUAGUGGGGGACAACAUCUCGAAAGGGAUGCUAAUACCGCAUACGUCCUACGGGAGAAAGCAGGGGACCUUCGGGCCUUGCGCUAAUAGAUGAGCCUAAGUCGGAUUAGCUAGUUGGUGGGGUAAAGGCCUACCAAGGCGACGAUCUGUAGCGGGUCUGAGAGGAUGAUCCGCCACACUGGGACUGAGACACGGCCCAGACUCCUACGGGAGGCAGCAGUGGGGAAUAUUGGACAAUGGGGGGAACCCUGAUCCAGCCAUGCCGCGUGUGUGAAGAAGGCCUUUUGGUUGUAAAGCACUUUAAGCGAGGAGGAGGCUACCGAGAUUAAUACUCUUGGAUAGUGGACGUUACUCGCAGAAUAAGCACCGGCUAACUCUGUGCCAGCCGCCGCCGUAAGAC
rnacentral:rRNA from 1 species